GUGAGGGGCUGGGCGAAAGGAGGGAGGAGAGAGGAUGGGGGAACGCGCGCCCCAGGAGCGAAAGCAAACAGCUUGCUGUAAAGGCGCUGCCCGCAGUCCAGGAGCCCAACAAGUUAGUUAGACCAGGAUCCACCGGUAUUUCGCAGGAAAGGGGGCGGGGGGGGGCGAGAUAGCUAAAGAAGGAGAAAGCCUUUCCAGAGGACAGAGGGAGGGAGGGAAAGAG
rnacentral:lncRNA from 1 species